rnacentral:rRNA from 1 species
AAGAUGGCGACCGGCGCACGGGUGAGUAACACGUAUCCAACCUGCCGAUAACUCCGGAAUAGCCUUUCGAAAGAAAGAUUAAUACCGGAUGGCAUACGAAUAUCGCAUGAUAUUUUUAUUAAAGAAUUCGGUUAUCGAUGGGGAUGCGUUCCAUUAGUUUGUUGGCGGGGUAACGGCCCACCAAGACAACGAUGGAUAGGGGUUCUGAGAGGAAGGUCCCCCACAUUGGAACUGAGACACGGUCCAA